rnacentral:rRNA from 1 species
GAGUUUGAUCCUGGCUCAGAUUGAACGCUGGCGGCAUGCCUUACACAUGCAAGUCGAACGGCAGCACGGGUGCUUGCACCUGGUGGCGAGUGGCGAACGGGUGAGUAAUACAUCGGAACAUGUCCUGUAGUGGGGGAUAGCCCGGCGAAAGCCGGAUUAAUACCGCAUACGAUCUGAGGAUGAAAGCGGGGGACCUUCGGGCCUCGCGCUAUAGGGUUGGCCGACGGCUGAUUAGCUAGUUGGUGGGGUAAAGGCCUACCAAGGCGACGAUCAGUAGCUGGUCUGAGAGGACGACCAGCCACACUGGGACUGAGACACGGCCCAGACUCCUACGGGAGGCAGCAGUGGGGAAUUUUGGACAAUGGGCGAAAGCCUGAUCCAGCAAUGCCGCGUGUGUGAAGAAGGCCUUCGGGUUGUAAAGCACUUUUGUCCGGAAAGAAAUCCUUGGUUCUAAUAUAGCCGGGGGAUGACGGUACCGGAAGAAUAAGCACCGGCUAACUACGUGCCAGCAGCCGCGGUAAUACGUAGGGUGCAAGCGUUAAUCGGAAUUACUGGGCGUAAAGCGUGCGCAGGCGGUUUGCUAAGACCGAUGUGAAAUCCCCGGGCUCAACCUGGGAACUGCAUUGGUGACUGGCAGCUAGAGUAUGGCAGAGGGGGUAGAAUUCCACGUGUAGCAGUGAAAUGCGAGAGAUGUGA